rnacentral:misc_RNA from 1 species
AGAAAAAAAAAAAAAAAAAGCAAAAAUAAAAUUGUGAAAAAAAUUUGAUUGGUGUUAUUCAUAGUUUAUCAUUUUACCUCCAAACUUCUUCAAGCAUCUUGGCAGCAUAUUGUCUUGAAUUAUUUCCACACUAGAGAGAAAAUUUUGCUAAGAAGUAUAGAAUAGGAAUGACACCUUAAGCAAUUCAAUUUUUUAUUAAAGUAAUAAAACAUGCAGCACUCAC